rnacentral:rRNA from 1 species
UACGAAGGACCCAAGCGUUAUCCGGAUUUAUUGGGUUUAAAGGGUGCGUAGGCGGAUUAUUAAGUCAGGGGUGAAAUCCUUGGGCUCAACCCAAGAACUGCCUUUGAAACUGUAAAGCUGGAGUGUCGGAGGGGAUAGCGGAAUUCCUAAUGUAGUGGUGAAAUACGUAGAUAUUAGGAGGAACACCGGUGGCGAAGGCGGCUAUCUGGACGACAACUGACGCUGAGGCGCGAAAGCGUGGGGAUCAAACAGG